rnacentral:rRNA from 1 species
AUUGAACGCUGGCGGCAGGCCUAACACAUGCAAGUCGAGCGAGGGGCGGACGGGAGAGUAAUGUAGGGGGAUCUGCCCGAUGGAGGGGGAUAAAUACUGGAAACGGUAGCUAAUACCGCAAACCAUCAGAUGAACACAUAUGGGAUUAGCUUGUAGGUGGGGUAACGGCUCACCUAGGCGACGAUCCCUAGCUGGUCUGAGAUGAUGAUCAGCCACACUGGAACUGAGACACGGCCCAGACUCCUACGGGAGGCAGCAGUGGGGAAUAUUGCACAAUGGGCGCAAGCCUGAUGCAGCCAUGCCGCGUGUAUGAAGAAGGCCUUCGGGUUGUAAAGUACUUUCAGUCGGGAGGCGUUACCGACAGAAGAAGCACCGGCUAACUCCGUGCCAGCAGCCGCGGUAAUUC